GACGAACGCUGGCGGCGUGCCUAAUACAUGCCAGUCGAGCGCUCAAGCUUGGUACUUGUACCAACUGGGUGAGCAGCGGACGGGUGAGUAACGCGUGGAUAAUCUGCCUUUGAGCGGGGGACAACAUUGGGAAACGGAUGCUAAUACCGCAUAAAAACUUUAAACACAUGGUUCAAUUGUGAAAGAUGGAUUUGCUGUACUUAAUAGAGGGCUCCCGGCGUAUUAGGUAGUUGGGGAGGUAAAGGGCCACCAAGGGGAUGGAACCUAGCCGGACUGGGAGGGUGGUCGGCCCAAUUGGGACGGGGAACCGGCCCAAACCCCUUCGGGAAGGAGCAGUAGGGAAUCUUCGGGCAGGGGCGGAAGGCUUACCGGGGAACGCCGCGUGAGUGAAGAAGGUUUUCGGGUCGUAAAACUCUGUUUGUAGGGAAGAAACUUGGUGAGAGUGGAAAGCUCAUCAAGUGACGGUAACUACCCAGAAAGCGACGGCUAACUACGUG
rnacentral:rRNA from 1 species